rnacentral:rRNA from 1 species
UACGUAGGGUGCGAGCGUUAAUCGGAAUUACUGGGCGUAAAGGGCUCGUAGGCGGCCAACUAAGUCAGACGUGAAAUCCCCAGGCUCAACCUGGGAACUGCGUCUGAUACUGGAUGGCUUGAAUCCGGGAGAGGGAUGCAGAAUUCCAGGUGUAGCGGUGAAAUGCGUAGAUAUCUGGAGGAAUACCGGUGGCGAAGGCGGCAUCCUGGACCGACAUUGACGCUGAACGGCGAAAGCUAGGGGAGCAAACGGG